rnacentral:tRNA from 2 species
GGGAUCGUGGUCUAGCUUGGUAUGAUUCGGGUUUUGGGUACCUGAGGUCGUCGGUUCAAAUCCGGCCGAUCCCACCU